rnacentral:rRNA from 1 species
UACGAAGGGUGCAAGCGUUAAUCGGAAUUACUGGGCGUAAAGCGUGCGUAGGCGGUCUUUUAAGUCCGAUGUGAAAGCCCUGGGCUCAACCUGGGAAUGGCACUGGAUACUGGAAGGCUAGAGUACGGUAGAGGGGGAUGGAAUUCCGCGUGUAGCAGUGAAAUGCGUAGAUAUGCGGAGGAACACCGAUGGCGAAGGCAAUCCCCUGGACCUGUACUGACGCUCAUGCACGAAAGCGUGGGGAGCAAACAGG